CCAAUAGCGUAUAUUAAAGUUGUUGCAGUUAAAAAGCUCGUAGUUGAAUUUCGGGAUCAAUACGUCGGUCGUGCUUUCGGGUACGUACUGGCGUCAUUGGUUUCUCCUUUCUGACGAACCAUGAUGUCAUUAAUUUGGUGUCAUGGGAAAUCAGGACUGUUACUUUGAAAAAAUUAGAGUGUUUAAAGCAGGCUCGCGCUUGAAUACAUUAGCAUGGAAUAAUGAAAUAGGACGUUUGAUUCUAUUUUGUUGGUUUCUAGGAUCGACGUAAUGAUUAAUAGGGAUAGUUGGGGGCAUUAGUAUUCAAUUGUCAGAGGUGAAAUUCUUGGAUUUAUUGAAGACUAACUACUGCGAAAGCAUUUGCCAAGGAUGUUUUCAUUAAUCAAGAACGAAAGUUAGGGGAUCGAAGACGAUCAGAUACCGUCGUAGUCUUAACCAUAAACUAUGCCGACUAGGGAUCGGAUGAUGUUAAUUUUUUAAUGACUCAUUCGGCGCCUUACG
rnacentral:misc_RNA from 1 species